rfam:Pelodiscus sinensis unplaced genomic scaffold scaffold3341, whole genome shotgun sequence.
AAGACUGUACUUUCAGGGAUUGUUUCUGCAGUUGGUAGUUAGGGAAAUGCAGCUGAAAGUGGUUGGUCUUGCUAACCAUGAGGAUGAGUGACAAUGUUCUCUUCUGAGCAUGAAGCAAGCAGACAGUGUUGUUUUAAUGUAAGUGAUGUCUGCCGUUGAUGAUUGUUCCUUCUUUCCUGCGGGGAAGCUGGAGGAAGAGAGUACAGGCUGAGUGGU